CUAUCGAGAAACUAUCAUUGAUGAAAUGCAAGAUGAAGUCCCUGCCAAGAAAUCUGAAUUGCCUCUCGAGUUUGAAGAGACUCAACAUCGAACGAUGCCCCAACGUAUCAUCUUUUCCAGAUCUGCCAAGCUCCCUCCAGCACAUACAGAUAGACGGUUGUGAGCUCUUGACGGAGAGCUGCCGAGCACCUGAUGGAGAAAGGUGGCCAAAGAUUGUCCAUAUCCGCUGGAAGUAUAUUCGUUGAACGUGCUUCAGAUUUGCUACCAGUGAUAAAUAGAGCAACUGCUCUGAGAUCACUCCCCUGCAGCGUCCUCGUCCCCACCGAAUGUUAUCAGGUGGAGUGCCCCAUGCUCACGCACCAGGUCAACUCUCUGUCCUCCGUUGCCGCAUUGUGCUUCCAACCUGCACGGCCCCUAUUGUCUCCUCUCCUCUAGCACUUGGACUCCGAGUGCCUAUGGGAGAAGGGUGUGUUGGUUCUCCAUUGGUUUCUAAAACUGUUUCCCUUCCCUCAUCUGUUUGUUGCUCUAUUGUUUUGUCGUUCAAUGCUUUUGGUUGGUACCGGUACUGGUUGUAAAUGCUAUCGCUCUCUGCUGUGGUGUACUUCUGAAGUCAAGCUCCAUACAGUUAUCGGAAAAUAUGUUCAUACCGUGUAUGACUAGGCAAGAGUCCCCACCUGAUAUUUCUGUGAUCCGCGAUAGGUUGCAUGCUUGGCCUAUAUAUAUGUACCAGUGUGUCUUGCAAGGGUUAGAGAUUAUUCUACCCAAUUAUACAAUCUUUCAUACCUGAACUUGAAAUUUCUUUUGGGUAGAAGAUCCAGAGGUCUUGAUCCUGUAGUCUGAUGAAACUUUGUGAUGUAUAGAGUAACAGAAUGUGCUAUGCCCUUUCUUGUUUCGA